GAUGAAGAACGCAGCGAAAUGCGAUAAGUAAUGUGAAUUGCAGAAUUCAGUGAAUCAUCGAAUCUUAGAACGCACAUUGCGCCCGCCAGUAUUCUGGCGGGCAUGCCUGUCUGAGCGUCAUUUCAACCCUCAUGCCCCUAGGGCGUGGUGUUGGGGAUCGGCCAAAGCCCGCGAGGGACGGCCGGCCCCUAAAUCUAGUGGCGGACCCGUCGUGGCCUCCUCUGCGAAGUAGUGAUAUUCCGCAUCGGAGAGCGACGAGCCCCUGCCGUUAAACCCCCAACUUUCCAAGGUUGACCUCAGAUCAGGUAGGAAUACCCGCUGAACUUAAGCAUAUCAAUAAGCGGAGGA
rnacentral:misc_RNA from 1 species